rnacentral:lncRNA from 1 species
CAAGGAAGAUGCUCCCCGACAGCACGUGGAGACAUUUUUCCAGGUGGGGUGAACGAUGUGCGAGAGGAAGGACGGUAUUAGUAGAUUCCCUGAUACCUGGAAAAUGCACUGAUGCAAAACAAUGAAAACUGCAAAGAGAAUGUGUAUUUGCAUGGACAGAACAAUAGGACAAAUGCUACCUUAAUUUCAUAAUUCAGGUUUUUAAACUGUACUUCCAGAAGAGUGACAAUAGCCUGACAAAGUCAGUCUCUUCUUUCAGAAAGCACUGUGAUGCAGGUCCCACAAGGACCUUAAAGAUAACUAAUUCUCAGUACUCUUCUCCCAUUUUAUAGAUGAAAAUUCCAAGGCGCUACAUUUCAGGAAAAUCUGCAAGGCCUAUCAUAGUUAGAAAAUGGUUUAUAUGACUCAUGGUUCACAUUACACGGGGGAAAACACACAACCUAAAAUGAUUUGGCAUCCCCAUUGUAAAAACUCAAUAGUUUCUCCUAGCGUGUAAGUGUACCAUAUACCUCAAAAUGGUGAGCUCCAUUCUUAUCUCUUUGAAUCUACUGUGUACAGAGAGGCUAUAAAAGGGUGACUCAAUACAGUUCUUUGUUCUUUUCUUUCUCAACAGAAGAUGGACAAGAAUAAAGAUGGUGUCGUUACCAUAGACGAGUUCAUUGAAAGUUGCCAAAAAGAUGAAAACAUAAUGCGCUCCAUGCAGCUCUUUGAAAAUGUGAUCUAGACUGUCGGUGCCUUGACCGG